rnacentral:misc_RNA from 1 species
CCUCCGUUGGUGAACCAGCGGAGGGAUCAUUACCGAGUUUACAACUCCCAAACCCCUGUGAACAUACCUAUCGUUGCCUCGGCGGUGCCCGCUCCGGCGGCCCGCCAGAGGACCCCCAAACUCUUGUUUUAUACAGUAUCUUCUGAGUAACACGAUUAAAUAAAUCAAAACUUUCAACAACGGAUCUCUUGGUUCUG